rnacentral:tRNA from 1 species
CCGUGCGUGGCGCAACCAGGGAGCGCAACUGCUUUGGGAGCAGAGGGUUGCAGGUUCAAGUCCUGCCGCACGGACCA